CCGAUGUUGUUGAGGGCGCUGCCGGUGGACGGAGACACCUGCAGGAGGCGGGGGUCGAUGAACGGCGUGAAGGAGGAGGAGGACUUGUGCUUCUGCAUGUUGUUACUAGACUGGCUCUACGGAGAGAAGGAACCACGGUCAGCUCCUCCAAAGCUCAACGUCCAACGAGAACAACGAGGAGCCUCAGAGGAGCCGCAUGCGCAUCCAACACAGAGGGGAAAAGGUGGAGGGGAAUCCAUGAACACAGAGGGGAAAAGGUGGAGGGGAAUCCAUGAACACAGAGGGGAAAAGGUGGAGGGGAAUCCAUGAACACAGAGGGGAAAAGGUGGAGGGGAAACCAUGACGACGGAAGCAAAAACGUGUCGACAAAAAGAACAAAAGGUGAUUUUCCGGAGACGUACUUGCCGUCGGGCUCCUAACCUGUCGGCUACGACUUUCUGUCUGUAGAAUGUGAGAAUACGACUGGGAACGGGCCACAUGAAUGAAAAUGAGAUUUAGAUGUGUGUGUGUGGAGGGGGGGGGGCAGUGAACCAGCGCAAACACGUCUGCUGGGACGAGAUUACAUCGUAACCCAAAAGUUCACCCGAUGAGGCCUGAAUGUAUUUUUAACAGGAUGUCAAAAGAAUAUAAAUAAACAGUUGCUUUGUCUUCAUGUGGAACUUCUGAAUCACCCCUGAGACGCAGCACCCCCCCCCCCCCCCUGUAUUAACAAACACUGGGUAACUACAGCGUCCACAUGUAGCGUGGAUCUGAAAAGAGGCUGCCGGGCCGAUGGCGGCCAGCAGAAGGCGCCGAGUGCCUCCCCAUCACGUCAGAACACCACAGGGCACCACAGAGCGACACCGCAUUCCAGUUACUGGGAGAAACUUUUUAUUUGGUUUUUUAUUGUGUCGUUUAUAGUGUCUCAACCACCAGCGUUCCUUUGGUCUGACCCUCUCAGUCCUGGUCCUGGUCCUCCCGGGCCUCCCUUCCCUCCAGAAGGUCCAGCACUACGUCUCUGGGAUCAGGGUUAUAUAUCGAGACCGGUUCAGGACCAGUUAAAAGUUCCCCACAGUAACUUUAAAUAGGAGUCUGCAGCUGCUGAGGACCUGUGAACUACUACUACGCGGACCACGAGGACCCGGACCCCCCACCAUGUAUGAUGCUCUUAGAAGGAUCCCGUGUCGGGGAUUCGGGCAACGUACCUCGAUGAGGAGGCUGAGCGUUUCCAUGGGGCUCUGGGGGGACAUGGAGGAGGGGCUGGCGAGGCUGGAGGAGGAGGGGGAGUUUGAUGCGGAGGAGGAGGGGGGGGAGGAAUGGUGGCUCUGCUGGAUCAGGUCUGGGAGGUGGUGGAUUCGGCCGGCGAGGCCGUUCCUCUCCGAGUGCUGUGUGGGGUGAUGAUGGUGGUGGUUGUUGUGGUGGUGGUGGUGGUGGUGAUGAUGGUGGGGGCUGGGGGCGCGGUGGCUGAGACCCGGGCCGGCGCUCGGGGCGAAGCCCGCGAGCAGGCCGGGGAGGGGCGGGGCUCGACCCGGGCCGGGGCCCGGACGCUUUCUGCCGUCACCAGCGCUCUGGAAGUACAGAGAGGGGCAGACGGCCGAGGGCCUAACUGAGCGGCGGGACCGGUCCUUGGGAGGGGGGGCUGUCAGCUGUGGCGGCACUCAUUCUGCUACUCUACUUGCGGGACGAAGACGCUCGUUAGCUCAACGCCGUCCUCAAAGGUCAGGUCAUCGUUUAGCUGAAUGCUCAAUCCUAACGGCAUCCGAUGGUGAAUGGAUCUAAAAUGGAACAUGAGGCCUUUUGCUCCUGAAGACCAGCUACUCGUCUUCCUCGUGUCACUGAGCUACAGGGAAGGUCUGUCCUCAGGGACGCCGAGCGGCUCCCAGCGGCCGACAAAUCAACAACACCACACGUGAACACAAACCAAAUGGGAGUAAACACAACAGGGAGUGCUGGAGAUGGUUGCUGUGGUUGUCGCCCCCCCCCGGCGGUACCUGUCUGACGAUCAGCGUGCCGUCUUUGCACGGCGUGGAGCCGGCGUCGCUCUCGCCCUCGUCGUGUACGAUCAUGGUUUUCACCGACUCCGUCUCCCCGUUACUCAGGCGGGACGAGCUGCGGACGGAAGAAGAGCGAGUUCACUGCUGGCCGGUUCCACGGAAUCAUAAUGUCACGCAUGCGCGUGACGACGUCAUAAUGAAUCCGACACGUACGCGGCUCUGGAGUCCUCGGGGCCCGAGGUCGAUUCCUCGCCGGCCUCCUGGUCGACCUCUUCGUCGUCGUCUUCGUCGGUGGUGUCCGAGUCAUCGCUGGAGGAGGAGUAAUCCGUCACCUUGUUGGGGGGGCGGACAUCGUCCACGGCUCGCAGCUCCUUGGCCAGAGCCGUCAGGUCCUGAAGGUCAAAGGUGAGAGGAGAAAAAGAGAGAGCGGCGUCAUUUGAGGUCAUUGGCUGACGCGCGUCUCCCUCCGUUGGAACGCCGGCCGGCCGUUUUUCUUUCUUCUACCCGCGAGCUGUUAGUCAAGACGUUCAGUCGGCAGGAAACGGAAAGCUGCGGGAGAGGAAGUUGUUAAAAGACGCGCUCCAGCCAAUGAGAAGCCAACGUUAGAGCGGCGAGCGCGGGAGGAUCCCCGAAGGUUAGUGAUGGACUUGAGUAAUGAGACAGUGAGGCAGUCAAGGCGGCCGCCAUCGGAGAGAGAAAGCAAGCGGCAAGGUGCAGGAAACCCUUCAGCCAGCGAGCGCCGCAAAGUCCACCGCUGCCAUUCACUCCGUAGAGAAACGCGCCAUCAGGCCACACACACACACACACACACACACACACACACACACACACACACACUCCUAGCUCUAGAUCCAUCCCAGCUAGCGAGCUACGCAACCGGCUAGUCGGGCGUGGACUCAACGCUCACCGCUGGUCUGUUCGGCCGGACCAAGUCCCGCCUCUCCUCGGGUUUUGUGCCGUCGGGCCGUUGGAGGGGCGAGCCCUCGGAUUUGGACGAGGCUGAAGGGAGGUGGAGGUGAAAAGAUCAGUUUACUCUAAAUGGCGGCUGUGCCUCCACCCCCCCCGCAUGUUGUCUGGGUGCGGCCCGGCGGAAGGUGCGCGUGGACUCACGGCGGGCCCUGAAGCGCUCCCCAGAGCCGCAGUGGGAGCCGGGCUGCGAGCUGGAGUUGCUGGAGCUGCUGGAGGAACUGGAGGCUCCGCUGUUACUGGUGGGCCUGGGAACCAGUUUCUCCACUCGCUCCCACAGCAGCCGAGGCUCGGCCGCGCUGCAGAGCCAACAAACAGCGGGUCAACAAGGUCACAGGCACAGGACACCGGACUGCUCACAUUUUACACACUGGGGACUUUUUUAUUUAAUAUAAUAAAUAUAUUAAUCAUUAUAUUAACAGACUCCCUUCAUUGUAUUUCCAGCGUUAGAGUCUUUCAAAUAUGCUAAAAAGGUGGAGUAAGAACAGACUACGAGUUGUUCUGGAGAUUAAGUAAGAUGCAUCUCACGAGUAUCUCGUGAGAAGAUUCACAGUUUGGAAAUAGAAAAGUGUGCAAACACACACAAAGGAAGGUUAGACAGCUAUUACAUAAACCCUCCCCCCCGCACACCACACACACACCCACGGCCGGAGAGACACACGGGGAAGUCACCGAGUGCGCCGGUUGUACAGACACUGUGUUUGUGUGCGUUUGAUCCAUCUCCAAACAAUGUGCCUGUUUGUCGAGUGAAACUCCGUUUUAUCUCUUUUUAACGAGACAGUUUCACAGAGCUUCAGGGUUCUUUCUUCUUCCUGAAGCCUGCAAAGGACUUUACUCGGUACGUUGUGUGCAGUGUGCGUUCACUGAGAUCUCAUUUGUGUUUUGAGUCCUGGACUGAUUCAGCUCAUUACCUGAACUCUUAAAUUCUCCCCUAAAUACAGAAGCAGUGGAGUCCCACAGGGCAGCAUUCUGGGCCCAGUUUAACUCUCCUUCAUUUGCAUUUUACUUGCUAUUUUAUGCAAAUACUUCUUCUCUGCUUUUUUAUGUUUUCACAAACACAAACUCCAGACAGAUGGACAAUAAAUUAUAGAUCUUAUUCUAGAUAAAUUAUUCACAGUUACAAAACUAGUUUUUAUUUUUUUAUAAUAAAGAUGAAUAAUUUACCAAACUGUGCAGAUUUUAUUUUCCAUCAACACAAACGAGAAGGGCGAGUAAUGUCUGUUUACCUGGCGACAGGCCGGUGCACAGCAUGGCUGCCGUGUGUGGCGUUGCCGUGGUGAUGAGGCGAGCCCCGACUCGGCAACACCGGGGACCUUGACGUGGUCCUUACGGGAACCUUUCGUGAUAGAGACAGUGACCAGCUCACACGUGAACACUCUGUCUGUGGAACAUCUCGCAGGGAUGAAGAAAUACGCCUUGUGAUUGUCACGGAGCUCAGUGAGCCGACUGAGGCUGAAAUGACACGCUGCACCUUCAGCUGGUGCCUCCUAAACGCUUCCCUUUCUAGCCCGUCUUCAUGCUGAGUAACGACAUACAUGGGCGUUGGAUGGUGGCCGUUCCUUUGGGCAUAACUCCUGCCGGCUGCAUCUUCAAGAGUUUUACUCGAUAUGGAUGAAAACCUGCAGAUUACGGUUUAUUCAUCUUAAGAAGGAACAUUUUGUGCGUUUGUGAAACGCCCCUCUUUUAUUAAAUAACAUCCCAGAAAGCCCAGCGUGAGGCAUCUUCAACUGAAAGAACAUGAGACCUUCAGGAAGGAGAAGAGCCUCCAACUUCCUGUAUGGAAGGAAGAGACGGAGAGCUCUUUGACCUCUGAAGACCCCCCCCGAAGAAUGUUUCUGUUGGUCCAAUGGGAGGAGUCAAAGCUCAUUAAAGUCAAGUCAUUCUCAUAUUUUAAUAUCUUAACUAAUAUUAUAUUUGUUAUAUAUUAAUAACUGAUAUGUAUUACAACUUGAUCCUUUUGCUUUAAGACGCUGAGGCUGCGUAAUAAUGAGGCAUUAUUUUAAUCCAACAUGAGUCAGACCCCCGAAAACAGACGUCUCUGGUGUGAUUUAAUCUGUGCGACACAUUCGAGACCGAUUGGCUUCAGUGGAGCGGAUCGUUCACAGACGAGUCACCUGGACGCACAUCUGGGUGCCAGUGAAUCAUCUCAGGAUCAACAGCACACGAUGAGCAGACACACACACACACACACACACACACACACACAGUGACACAUUUGAAUAAAGGGCUCCUGUUGGCUGUGACAAGUGGGAGGACCACCUGUCAAUCAAAGGGUUAAUCACAAAAGAAGAUAUCAGGGUCGCCAACAAAAGAUUAUCUGUUAGAGAAUGAAGAAAACACAAAGCUGUCUUUUGAUGGAGGCUUUUAAAGGGAAAUGGGGAAGUGAUGACAGCCCUGGAAGAAGAAGGAAAUCAAACAUCUCACAUACGAUAGAAGCAGAUUAGACUCCUGAGAGAGAGAUGAAGACUAACACAAGGACGCAUCCAGAGCUCCUCCCCUCUCUGUGACCAACGACAUCAUCCGCAAAAACACGAUCUACUCCGGCCGACUCACACUGAGGAAACAGCAGCCCAACGACCAGCGAGAGAAACAGUUCACCACAUGAGCUCCACGUCUCCACCUUCCAGAGCCGAGUCACAGACGGCGAGUGGGAGGAGGUCGUCGCCAUGGUGACGUCACCUGCUGGUUUGUGGACGUUUCGAAGCCUCGGGUUCUUUUCGUUCUUGCAACCAGUGAACAGGAAGUGAGACGUAGAGACGGUGCAUACGUCUCUGUUAGAGAGCUGUCAAUCAGAGCGUAGCCCCGCCCAAAUUGUCUCCAGCUUUAUGGUCCGUUUGACUCUACAUGGACCAUAAUUCACUAAAUGAACAUCACGCUGUACUGAAGAAGACUUGAAACUAGAGACAGAGACCAUGAACUCAUGUUUGUAAUGUUCACUGAGGAAAUAAACCCAGAGAGAAGUGGAGUCAUUUCCUCAUAGACGUCUAUGACUGGUUGUACGUCGUUCUUCCACCUAUUGUGUGACCCUCUGGUUGGGAAAACAAACAAUACGGCGACGGUCAAACUGCCAAAGUCGAGGCUUCAUGACACGAGAAACCAAUGUGUGACGUCACCAUGACAACGCCCACUUCUUACAUAGCCUGCGGCUGAUUGGUCCAAACAACGGCUCGUUUAACCUCCACAUUCAGCACCACUCUUCUCCUGGUGCUCAGGGCGAACUGAUCCAAGAGCAGAGAAACAAAACGUCAUCGGCGAUGACAUCAUAGCGGCCGCUUCUACCGGCCAGAGGAAAGGAAAUCGCUGCAAAGAUGAACAGCAGACAGAAGAGCGAGAUGUGAGCGGUUUGUGGGAUCAAAGCGUGGACAGGAAGUCGCCGUCACGUGACGCGAGUGUUCACCUUGAGACUCUCUAAACAAACAUGAGCUCCGACCGAGUCCGCAGGCAGGAGGACAAAGGCAGCAGGGGGCCUGAGCGGUGGAGGUGAAACAGGUGUGUGCGAGGUGGGGGGGUGGGGGGAGGUUACCUGCGGUUCCACGGGCCGGUGCACGGCGGGCGCCACCUCCGGGGCCGGGUUGCCAUUGGGGUGGGAGGAGGACUCGGAGCGUGGCGGCACUGGCGGCAGCUGCGGUUUGGUGGACGCCGCCUGAGGAGAGCCCUGGAUGUUCUUCCGGUAGCGGUCGUCUGCCUACGAGGGGGGAGGGGGGGGGCAGACGGGCGCCGUUACAGUGGUUCAAAGUUCAACGUGAAGCCAAUCAGGGGAGCCGAGGGUGUGUUAGUUUCAUCCAGCUGCAGAGCGGAGGACGUUCAUCAACAAAGCACAAAAAAUGCAGAGGUCACGUGACGCGUUAGGACGCACGCCGGGUCACCUGAGCCUCACUGAGCCUCACCUGAGCCUCAC
ensembl:lncRNA